AGAUAAGGUUGCGUAGCAUUGGCAUAAAGGUAAGUGGCUUCUCUAGUAUUCUAGUUGUAUAAUUUUUGCAAAGAGUGUCUGAUCCUCAAGCACAUUCUGCACCAACCUUACACAUCUUGCUGGGGUUCAUUACAGAAUCGGAAACAGAUGGAGGCCAUAAAAAGUAACAGCUUAUCUAGUACUUAAAGGGACACUAUGGUCACCAAAGCAACUUCAGCUUAAUGAAACAGUUU